GCCAGUGUGGUAUAGUGGUUUGAGUGCUGGACUACAACUCUGGAGACCAGAGUUCUAUUCCCUCCUUGGCCA